GAUGAACGCUGGCGGCGUGCUUAACACAUGCAAGUCGAACGGGAUCCAUCAGGCUUUGCUUGGUGGUGAGAGUGGCGAACGGGUGAGUAAUGCGUGACCGACCUGCCCCAUACACCGGAAUAGCUCCUGGAAACGGGUGGUAAUGCCGGAUGUUCCAGUUGAUCGCAUGGUCUUCUGGGAAAGCUUUCGCGGUAUGGGAUGGGGUCGCGUCCUAUCAGCUUGACGGCGGGGUAACGGCCCACCGUGGCUUCGACGGGUAGCCGGCCUGAGAGGGCGACCGGCCACAUUGGGACUGAGAUACGGCCCAGACUCCUACGGGAGGCAGCAGUGGGGAAUAUUGCACAAUGGGCGCAAGCCUGAUGCAGCGACGCCGCGUGAGGGAUGGAGGCCUUCGGGUUGUAAACCUCUUUUAUCGGGGAGCAAGCGAG
rnacentral:rRNA from 1 species